rnacentral:tRNA from 1 species
GUCCAAGUAGUUUAGUACAAAACAUUGGUCUUGUAAGCCAAAAACGGGGCCUAACCCCCCCCUCGGAUU